UGCCAGACUCCUACGGGAGGCAGCAGUGAGGAAUAUUGGUCAAUGGACGAGAGUCUGAACCAGCCAAGUAGCGUGAAGGAUGACUGCCCUAUGGGUUGUAAACUUCUUUUAUAUGGGAAUAAAAUGUUCCACGUGUGGGAUUUUGUAUGUACCAUAUGAAUAAGGAUCGGCUAACUCCGUGCCAGCAGCCGCGGUAAUACGGAGGAUGCGAGCGUUAUCCGGAUUUAUUGGGUUUAAAGGGUGCGCAGGCGGCACGGCAAGCCGGCGGUCAAAUCGCGGGGCUCAACCCCGCCCAGCCGUCGGAACUGCCGGGCUAGAGUGGGCGAGAAGUGCGCGGAAUGCGUGGUGUAGCGGUGAAAUGCAUAGAUAUCACGCAGAACUCCGAUUGCGAAGGCAGCGCACCGGCGCCCUACUGACGCUCAGGCACGAAAGCGUGGGUAUCGAACAGGAUUAGAUACCCCCGUAU
rnacentral:rRNA from 1 species